GGCUGGUCCGAGUGCAGUGGUGUUUACAACUAAUUGAUCACAACCAGUUACAGAUUGCUUUGUUCCUUCUCCACUCCCACUGCUUCACUUUGACUAGCCUUAA
ensembl:misc_RNA Y_RNA Y RNA